rnacentral:rRNA from 1 species
UACGUAGGACCCAAGCGUUGUCCGGAUUUACUGGGUGUAAAGGGAGCGCAGGCGGAUUAUUAAGUCGAUUGUGAAAUCUUGCGGCUCAACCGCAAAACAGCAGUCGAUACUGUUAAUCUUGAGUAUGGAAGAGAGUGGCGGAAUUCAUGGUGUAGCAGUGAAAUGCGUAGAUAUCAUGAAGAACACCGGUUGCGAAGGCGGCCACUUAGUCCAUUACUGACGCUCAUGCUCGAAAGCGUGGGGAUCAAACAGG